rnacentral:rRNA from 1 species
AUUGAACGCUGGCGGUAGGCGUUAACACAUUCAAGUCGUGCGAGAAAGUAUCUUCGGAUAUGAGUAGAGCGGCGGACGGGUGAGGUAACGCGUAGGAAUCUACCCAGUAGUGGGGGAUAGCCCGGGGAAACUCGGAUUAAUACCGCAUACGCCCUACGGGGGAAAGCCCGGGAUCUUCGGACCGGUCGCUAUUGGAUGAGCCUGCGUAAGAUUAGCUAGUUGGUGGGGUAAAGGCCUACCAAGGCUACGAUCCGUAGCUGGUCUGAGAGGAUGAUCAGCAAGAUUGGGACUGAGACACGGCCCAGACUCCUACGGGAGGCAGCAGUGGGGAAUAUUGCGCAAUGGGGGAAACCCUGACGCAGCGAUGCCGCGUGAGUGAAGAAGGCCCUAGGGUUGUAAAGCUCUUUCGCAAGAGAAGAAAACUUGCUAUCUAAUAAAUAGUAAGUAUGACGGUAUCUUGACAAGAAGCACCGGCUAACUACGUG